AGAGCGAACGCUGGCGGCAUGCUUAACACAUGCAAGUCGCACGGGCAGGGGAAACCCUGUCAGUGGCGGACGGGUGAGUAACGCGUAGGUAUCUAUCCUUGGGUGGGGGACAACUGUGGGAAACUACAGCUAAUACCGCAUGAUGACCGAGGUCCAAAGCUCGCGAGAGCGCCUGGGGAGGAGCCUGCGUACGAUUAGCUAGUUGGUGGGUAAAGGCCUACCAAGGCGACGAUCGUUAGCUGGUCUGAGAGGAUGAUCAGCCACAUUGGGACUGAGACACGGCCCAAACUCCUACGGGAGGCAGCAGUGGGGAAUAUUGGACAAUGGGCGAAAGCCUGAUCCAGCAAUGCCGCGUGUGUGAAGAAGGUCUUCGGAUUGUAAAGCACUUUCGACGGGGACGAUGAUGACGGUACCGUAGAAGAAGCCCCGGCUAACUUCGUGCCAGCAGCCG
rnacentral:rRNA from 1 species